rnacentral:lncRNA from 1 species
UCUUCGCAAAGCAGGAGAGUGAACAAGCGAGUCCUCACAAGGAAGAUCUGCCAGAGACAAAGAAUAUGCAGCAGCACAGAGGGAUGCGAGGUGUACACAUGGAAUCGAUAAAGGAGAGCUGUCCCUCCUCAUUGUGAGACAUCAACUGUGCCGAGUUUGUGGUCCCAGGACAUCAAGGGAUGAAGUCAUGAAGCGAAGGAAGAAGUGAAGAGAGUUUUAUUGGAAACAAGGAGAAGACUAGCUGGUGGAUUUACACAACGG